CAUGUUGGAACACCUGUUCUCAUAUGAUCACUAAAGGUAAGCAACAUUGAACCUGGUUAGUAGUUAGAUGAGUGACCACUUGGGAAUACCAGGUGCUGUA